UACGUAGGGUCCGAGCGUUGUCCGGAAUUAUUGGGCGUAAAGAGCUCGUAGGCGGUUUGUCGCGUCUGCUGUGAAAUCCCGAGACUCAACCUCGGGCCUGCAGUGGGUACGGGCAGACUGGAGUGCGGUAGGGGAGAAUGGAAUUCCUGGUGUAGCGGUGGAAUGCGCAGAUAUCAGGAGGAACACCGAUGGCGAAGGCAGUUCUCUGGGCCGUAACUGACGCUGAGGAGCGAAAGCGUGGGGAGCGAACAGG
rnacentral:rRNA from 1 species